UUCACAUCGUUUUUUUUGCCUUCUUUCAAGUCUGUCAGUCAAUCUGUACUCUUUUUUCUUUGACGGCGUUAGUACCUAUAGGGUGUGAGAGCCAGUGGUGGGAUCUUUAAUGCCGUCAAAGAAAAAGAGUACAAAUUGACUAACAAAAUCCAACAAAAAAGCCUUUUGUUUCCUACAAUUGCUCUUAUGCUUAUCUUGGUAGAUCCAUUGAUGCAUAACAAACUAAAAUGUCUUUUGUACUUAGAAUGGAUGGCCUUGUUCAAACUUACCUUAUAUGCUGUAAUGGUUGACAGUUUUUUAUUUGUUUCUUUCUUCACACUUCCGCAGUGCCACAUGUUGAACAGAUUGAUAAUAAUAAUAAUUCCCUAUUGGUUUAACUUACUAUUAUAACUGUCCAUGCCAAGAUAAUGAUUUUCAGAAUUGGGUAUAAACUGUAAAUCUUGUACUAUCUCUUAACAUUGUGGAGUUAUGUUAUUAUAUAUCUUGUUGUAUUUCUAAUCAAACCUGAGAGUUAUAGAUGAUGCAAAGAAUUUAUUGCUUAAGAUAAAUUUAGAAUCUGGAAAGGUGCAUGCUCUUGUAAAUGAGGUGAGGUGUAUUUUCUUGGUGUAGAUCGUGCCAUUUUAUUUUAUUUUUUUGGAUAAGGUUAGGUUUUAUUUUUAUUUAAAAAAAAAAAAAAAAAACUAUCAAGAUGAUACUGAACGUACAUAGAAAGAGCAGGCUAGAGUACAUUAGAAACCUAAGCAGUCUAGCAUGUCAUCUAAAUUCUUUCCAAUUGUACAGGUUGCGCAAACAAGUAUAUUUCACAGACUGCAACUGCUUCUUUUUGUCUUCAAACUUUCUUUCCAUUUAGUCCAAGCUAUGCUAAGAGGAAUGGCAUUCCAGAUCUUCUUUAGGGAUGUGUCUGGACAUGCAACUUCACAAUGCACAAAAAUAUGGUUCACAGAUUCACAAGCUUUCUCACACAAGUAGCAUCUGCUGCACAUUAUCCAACCCCUUCUCUUCAAUUUUUCUAGCGUUAGACAUGCUUCAUGACACACUAGCCAACCAAAGAAGGUGACUUUUCUUGGGACUGUAAUUCUCAUGUCAUCUGAGGAUUGUUCAAAAACAUGCGGAACUGAAAGAAGAUAACAAUAACAGAAGAAUCAGAGUGCUAGCUUCAGUAUACUCAGGACUCAUAUGUUUUUAAUUUUCUGCUAGUUUGUCAGGUUACUGGAUACCAAUGUCCCGAAGGUGGUGUUAUUGCUGUGCUGCAGUCUUAUAUCGAUGAAGAUGUAAGAAGCUGCAAAUUCUCAGUUGUUGCAUUUUGUAGUUAAGACAUAUGUCAUCUCGAAUGCUUAAGAAGCUUUUGGCCUUUCGAUGUACGUUGUAGAUCAGAAAGACGAAUCCUUUUACACUGUAAGUUUGGCCUGCAAUAUUGAUGGUAGUCCACUCAUAGUGGCUAGAGGAAUAAAUGGAAUUCUCCAUGUUAUUGAUGCUGGCAAUGAGAAGAUACACAAGGAUAGUACAUGAAAUAUUUGACGCGCACUUUACAUGGUAAACCAAAGUAACUGCUCUUUUAGUUAUAAAUAAUGAAUACCUGCAAAUGAGUUUGUAACAUUCGUCUAAUUUAUCUUUAUCUGAAGACUAAUGUAUUUCCUUUCUCACUUGAUUCUACCCAUCUUAUCAUCGUGAUAUGAACAAGUAUAAGUUUUCCUUAAGUUUUCCUUCAUGUUUCAUUCCAUGUUAAGUUAUAAGUUUGAAAGAUGGUCACCGAAAUGAAGUACUCAGUGUGGACUUCUAUCCUUCUGGUAUAUAUCGGAUUGCUAGCUGCGGAAUAUUGUUAAGAUCUGGUCAAUGAAAGAUUUGGUGACUUGUCACCUAUAUAACUUGAACCUGACACGACUACCUGGACUUGUUGAACUAAUGACUUGCAAGCAAUUAUCAGUUGAUAUUUCUAUGAGGAUAUCUCUGUCUUCGGGCACAAAUGUAAAAAUGAUGUCAAUAAUUUCAAAGAACUAAUUGCAGUUUUAAAUGCACCAACUACCUAGAAGGAAAGCAGGGGAGAUCUGGGACAGCAUAGUGGAAAACACUGAGAAAAAGUUAACUAGGUGGAAGACCCAAUAUCUAUCCAUAGGUAGUUGACUCACCCGAAGUAAUUCUGUUCUUGAUUCUCUCCCCACAUAUGUGAUGUCCCUUUUCCUUUACCUUCCAAUGUGAUCAAAAGACUGGACAAACUUAGGAGAAAUUCUGUGACAGGGAUGUAAAGAUGGAAAGGGCUAUAACUUGGUGAAAUGGAAAGAGUCUUACUCCGCAAGAAGAGGGGUGGCUUGGGAAUCAGGAUCUUGAGUUUGCAGAUAAAUGCCUAAUGAUGACAUGGUUAUGGAGAUACAAUGGCGAGGAAACUGCUCUAUGGAAGGAAGUAAUAAAGGCCAAGUUUGGUGAAACAAAUCCAAGGUGCACAACGUAGUCAGUCAUAGAAACUUAUGGAGUUGGAGUAUGGAGAGACAUUAGGGCCUUUGGCUAAUGCUGGAGGCAAAUCUCAAACUAAAGGUAGAAGAUGGUAGCAAGAUCCAGUUCUGGAAAGAAGCUUGGAUUGACCAAACCCCUCUUGUGGAUUCUUUCCAGAUUUAUGCAACAUCUGCAACAACCCUGAAGCUGAAGUGAGUGAAUGCUGGUCAACUCAACGGUGGGAUCUGCUUUUGAUAAAUAUCUUGCCAAGGCUACUGCUUUUGAUUGUUUAAAGAUAGCUUAAAAUUCACAAAUAGUCUUGUCAUUUUUUCACUUUGUAACGAAUAGUCACCAUCAUAGAAUUUCUAACUUUAUAGUAAUAAAUUACAGGAUUAUCACUUGCAAAAA